UACAGAGGUCUCAAGCGUUUGUUCGGAUUCAUUGGGCGUAAAGGGUGCGUAGGCGGCGCGGUAAGUCGGGUGUGAAAUCUUGGAGCUUAACUCCGAAACUGCAUUCGAUACUGCCGUGCUUGAGGACUGGAGAGGAGACUGGAAUUCAUGGUGUAGCAGUGAAAUGCGUAGAGAUCAUGAGGAAGACCAGUGGCGAAGGCGGGUCUCUGGACAGUUCCUGACACUGAGACACGAAGGCCAGGGGGAGCAAACGGGG
rnacentral:rRNA from 1 species